AUAUUGGUAAUGGGCGAAAGCCUGAACCGGCAACGCCGCGUGUGCGAUGAAGGCCUUCGGGUUGUAAAGCACUUUUGACCGGGACGAGGAAGGACGGUACCGGUGGAAUUAGCCUCGGCUAACUACGUGCCAGCAGCCGCGGUAAAACGUAGGAGGCGAGUGGUAUCCGGAAUUAGUGGGGGUAAAGCGCGUGCAGGCGGUUAGCUAAGUUGGGGGUGAGAGCUCCUGGCUCAACUGGGAGCGGUCGCUCUAGACUGGCGGACUCGAGGAUGGGAGGGGAAGGUGGGAAUCCGGGGGUGGUGGUGAGAUGCGUAGAUAUCCGGAGGAACACCAGUGGCGAAGGCGGACUUCUGGACCAUCACUGACGCUCAGACGCGAGAGCUAGGGUAGCAAA
rnacentral:rRNA from 1 species